rnacentral:rRNA from 1 species
UACGUAGGGUGCGAGCGUUACUCGGAAUUACUGAGCGUAAAGCGUGCGCAGGCGGUUCGUUAAGUCAGAUGUGAAAGCCCCGGGCUCAACCUGGGAACUGCAUUUGAAACUGGCGGGCUUGAGUGUGGCAGAGGGGGGUGGAAUUCCGCGUGUAGCAGUGAAAUGCGUAGAGAUGCGGAGGAACACCGAUGGCGAAGGCAGCCCCCUGGGCCAACACUGACGCUCAGGCACGAAAGCGUGGGGAGCAAACAGG